UACGUAAGGGGCGAGCGUUGUCCGGAGUUACUGGGCGUAAAGCGCUUGUAGGCGGUCCACCAAGUUUGGGGUGACAGUUGCCGACUUAAUCGGCAAAGUGCCUCAAAGACUGGCGGACUUGAGGGCCACAGAGGGACAUGGAACUCCAGGUGUAGUGGUGAAAUGCGUAGAUAUCUGGAAGAACACCAAAGGCGAAGGCAGUGUCCUGGGUGGUCGCUGACGCUGAGAGGCGAAAGCCAGGGGAGCGAACGGG
rnacentral:rRNA from 1 species